UCAGUUUUCAUUUAUUUUUUAUGAAAUAUUAAGAAAAUGAAGUUUGCUGCUUAAAAAUGUUUUCUAUUGGUAAUACCGUAUCGGCACCUGAAACAGAAGGAUUUAUCUAAACCCUUGAGUAGCAAAUCGUAUCUAGUUUGUUUAGCUUUUCAGAUUGGUCCCAGAAAAUCCUUUUUAUGUGCCAAAAUAUUUAUCUCUUGGGGUAGGAAACACCAUUAGCAUGAAAAGCUUUGAUAAUGCUAAAUUUUACUUCAAGCAGGCAGUUACAACUACCAUCAGAGUGCCCUUUACUCUCUAAAACAGUUAUAAGCUUUCUAUUUAGCAAGAACAGCUCAUCCCACUGUUAAAACUCAUACUAAAUGAUAUUUCCUGUUGAUGGAUUUUUUUUUUUUUGGAUUUUUUUUUUUUUGGAUUCAUUUAACUUAAAUGAUUAUAUUCCUCAAAUGAAAAUAAUUUGGAAGACUAAUGCUAUAUUUUCCUACGGUUAUGAUGAUAAGUUAAAAGUUUUAUGUAAACAAUAGCAUAUUUCAGGGUGUGGAGUGCAGAAAUGGGAGUCAGACCUGUGAUUGCAUUAAUGUUGGAAACUCCCAAUGAGGUAAUUCCCUCCACCAAUGCAAAUCAAUAAUUUCUCUAUGACUUAAGAGUGUUAAAAGUUGUCUGGGACACUGAAAGAUUAAGUAAUUUGUCCAGCGUCACAAAGUCAUCAUGUGACUAGGAGGCAAGUUGUCUAUCUAGUAGUACAACACAUAUUGUUAUUAAUGAGGAAAAAAGUGAAAUGGGUCAGAGUUCUAAUUAUGUGAUUUUUUUUGAUGAAUUAUAAAUUAAAAACCAUUAUAUAUACAAUGGAAAAUAACAAACUAAAAUUAAUAAAUCACUAUUCAAUUAGAAGAGAUCAACUCUUAAAAGAGACCAAAAUAUGACAUUUGAUCCUAGGAAGAAAAGCUCAUAGACACAGAAUAAGAUAUACUUAUUACUUUUAGCAUGUUAAAAACAAUGACACAAAAAAGUACGCAGUUAAAAACUGUUAUAGGUGACAUAAGAAAAUAGUGUGUAUAUAUUUCAUACAUAUAUAUAUAUAAAAUCUACAUUAUUUACCAUUGUUGAUAUGUGUGUAUGUAUGUAUACACAUAUACACACAUACAUAUAUAUGUAUAUGUAUAUUAUUAUAAUAAAUAUAAUAAUAUACACAUACACAAACACACACACACACAUAUAUAUUUGGGGGAGGCAGCAUAGGUGCUAACUAGAAUAAAUUUUACAUUAUACUUUAUUAUAAAUCACAGAAUCCAGGUUUAAAUUUUAAGG
rnacentral:lncRNA from 1 species